UUUUAAUUGUAAAAGCAUGUUGGUUGUGUGAAUUGCUACUUUCUAGACUCCUAGGUUCAUUUUUGUGACUCUUGUACUUGUUGGCUUAAUUUGAAUUCAUGCUAUCAUUUGGUUGAGAGUCUAUGAUGAUCAUAUGUGAGAUGAGGAUGUGCCAUGUGAGUGUAAGGCAUUUGUAUAUUCCCUGUGGCAUGUGAUGUCUAGAACUUUCCCG
rnacentral:lncRNA from 1 species